rnacentral:rRNA from 1 species
GGGUCUGUCCAUUGGUUGGGCUUUACGGUCCGUACUGGUGAGAUGGGUUCCUACCUUCUGAAUAACCGGCAUGCCAUUCAGUUGGUGCGCCGGGGAAGCAGAGCUAUUACCUUGAAAAAAUUAGAGUGCUUAAAGCAGGCUAUUGCUUGAACAGAUUAGCAUGGAAUAAUAAAAUAGGACGGCAUGGUUCUAUUUUGUUGGUUUCUAGGAUCACCGUA